rnacentral:rRNA from 1 species
GAACGGGAAACCCUUCGGGGUUUCUAGUGGCGAAAGGGUGAGUAACACGUGAGCAACCUGCCCCCAAGUCCGGAAUAAGCGGUGGAAACGCCGUCUAAUGCCGGAUGCCGAAUGGCCCCCGCCUGGUGGCUUUUCGAAAGAUUUAUCGCUUGGGGAUGGGCUCGCGCCCCAUUAGCUGGUUGGCGGGGUAAUGGCCCACCAAGGCUACGACGGGUAGGUGGACUGAGAGGUCGGUCACCCACACUGGGACUGAGACACUGCCCAGACUCCUACGGGAGGCUGCAGUCGAGAAUCUUCCGCAAUGGGCGAAAGCCUGACGGAGCAAUGCCGCGUGAGGGAAGAAUGCCUUCGGGUUGUAAACCUCUGUCACCCGGGACGAAAUUUGACGGUACCGGGAGAGGAAGUCACGGCUAACUACGUGCCAGCAGCCGCGGUAACACGUAGGUGGCAAGCGUUAUUCGGAUUUACUGGGCGUAAAGGGUCCGCAGGGGGCCUGACAAGUCUGUCGUGAAAGGCCAAGGCUCAACCUUGGCACUGCGGUGGAAACAGUCGGGCUAGAGUCAGUGAGGGGCAGACGGAACACCUGGUGUAGCGGUGGAAUGCGUAGAUAUCAGGUGGAACACCUAUGGCGAAGGCGGUCUGCUGGCACAUGACUGACCCUCAGGGACGAAAGCGUGGGUAGCAAACAGGAUUAGAUACCCUGGUAGUCCACGCCGUAAACUUUGUGAACUAGAUGUGCCCGGGCUGGCCCCGGGCGUGUCCAAGCUAACGCGAUAAGUUCACCGCCUGGGGACUACGGCCGCAAGGCUAAAACUCAAAGGAAUUGACGG